UACAGAGGUCCCAAGCGUUGUUCGGAUUCAUUGGGCGUAAAGGGUGCGUAGGCGGCGCGGUAAGUCGGGUGUGAAAUCUCGGAGCUUAACUCCGAAACUGCAUUCGAUACUGCCGUGCUUGAGGACUGGAGAGGAGACUGGAAUUUACGGUGUAGCGGUGAAAUGCGUAGAUAUCGUAAGGAAGACCAGUGGCGAAGGCGGCUCUCUGGAACGCAACUGACGCUGAGACGCGAAAGCGUGGGGAGCAAACAGG
rnacentral:rRNA from 1 species